rnacentral:rRNA from 1 species
AUUGAACGCUGGCGGCAGGCCUAACACAUGCAAGUCGAGCGGAGCGGCGGACGGGGGAGGAAUGCCUAGGAAUCUGCCUGGUAGUGGGGGAUAACGUCCGGAACCGAGAGCUAAUACCGCAUACUAUCAGCGGAGAAUGGGUGUGAUUAGCUGGUUGGUGGGGUAAAGGCUUACCAAGGCGACGAUCCGUAACUGGUCUGAGAGGAUGAUCAGUCACACUGGAACUGAGACACGGUCCAGACUCCUACGGGAGGCAGCAGUGGGGAAUAUUGGACAAUGGGCGAAAGCCUGAUCCAGCCAUGCCGCGUGUGUGAAGAAGGUCUUCGGAUUGUAAAGCACUUUAAGUUGGGAGGCGUUACCAACAGAAUAAGCACCGGCUAACUUCGUGCCAGCAGCCGCGGUAAUAC